GCGAGAGUCGCCAAGUCAGGUCAAAGGCGCAGCGUUCAGGGCGCUGUCCCGUAGGGGUUCGAGGGUUCAAAUCCUUCUCCCGCA
rnacentral:tRNA from 2 species